rnacentral:rRNA from 1 species
CCCGCACAAGCGGUGGAGCACGUGGUUUAAUUCGAUGCAAACCGAAGAACCUUACCUGGGUUUGACAUGUACGUGUUACUGAUCUGAGAGGAGAGGGACCCAUGCUUCGGUAUGGGAGCGUACACAGGUGCUGCAUGGCUGUCGUCAGCUCGUGCCGUGAGAUGUUGGGUUAAGUCCCGUAACGAGCGCAACCCUUGUCCUUAGUUACCAGCACGUUAUGGUGGGCACUCUAAGGAGACUGCCGGUGACAAACCGGAGGAAGGUGGGGAUGACGUCAAGUCAUCAUGGCCCUUACGGCCUGGGCUACACACGUGCUACAAUGGUCGGUACAAAGGGUUGCCAAGCCGCGAGGUGGAGCUAAUCCCAUAAAACCGAUCGUAGUCCGGAUCGCAGUCUGCAACUCGACUGCGUGAAGUCGGAAUCGCUAGUAAUCGUGAAUCAGAAUGUCACGGUGAAUACGUUCCCGGGCCUU